GACGAACGCUGGCGGCGUGCUUAACACAUGCAAGUCGAACGGAAAGGCCCUGCUUUUGUGGGGUGCUCGAGUGGCGAACGGGUGAGUAACACGUGAGUAACCUGCCCUUGACUUUGGGAUAACUUCAGGAAACUGGGGCUAAUACCGGAUAGGAGCUCCUGCUGCAUGGUGGGGGUUGGAAAGUUUCGGCGGUUGGGGAUGGACUCGCGGCUUAUCAGCUUGUUGGUGGGGUAGUGGCUUACCAAGGCUUUGACGGGUAGCCGGCCUGAGAGGGUGACCGGCCACAUUGGGACUGAGAUACGGCCCAGACUCCUACGGGAGGAAGCAGGGGGGAAUAUUGCACAAUGGGCGGAAGCCGGAUGCAGCAACGCCGCGUGCGGGAUGACGGCCUUCGGGUGGUAAACCGCUUUCGCCUGUGACGAAGCGUGAGUGGCGGUAAUGGGUAAAGAAGCACCGGCUAACUACGG
rnacentral:rRNA from 1 species